rnacentral:rRNA from 1 species
UACGGAGGGUGCAAACGUUGCUCGGAAUCAUUGGGCGUAAAGCGCACGUAGGCGGCCUGUUAAGUCGGGUGUGAAAGCCCUGGGCUCAACCCAGGAAGUGCACUCGAAACUGGCGGGCUUGAAUAUGGAAGAGGGUCGCGGAAUUCCCGGUGUAGAGGUGAAGUGCGUAGAUAUCUGGAGGAACACCGGUGGCGAAGGCGGCAUCCUGGACCAUUACUGACGCUGAGGAGCGAAAGCCAGGGGAGCAAACGGG